rnacentral:rRNA from 1 species
AAAGAGAUUAUGCACGCUUAUUCGCGGCGAUAAACCUUACACACAUUGUCUAGUUUUUUUGAACUUUGCUUUGGGUGCAUCAGCCUAGCUGCGUGCCCAAAGGUCUAAACACAUUUUUUAAUGUUAAAACCUUUAACCAAUAGUCAUGAAAAUUUUUAACAAAAAUUAAAAUCUUCAAAACUUUCAACAACGGAUCUCUUGGUUCUCGCAACGAUGAAGAACGCAGCGAAAUGCGAUACGUAUUGUGAAUUGCAGAUUUUCGUGAAUCAUCGAAUCUUUGAACGCACAUUGCACCCUCUGGUAUUCCAGAGGGUAUGCCUGUUUGAGCGUCAUUUCUCUCUCAAACCUUCGGGUUUGGUAUUGAGUGAUACUCUGUCAAGGGUUAACUUGAAAUAUUGACUUAGCAAGAGUGUACUAAUAAGCAGUCUUUCUGAAAUAAUGUAUUAGGUUCUUCCAACUCGUUAUAUCAGCUAGGCAGGUUUAGAAGUAUUUUAGGCUCGGCUUAACAACAAUAAACUAAAAGUUUGACCUCAAAUCAGGUAGGACUACCCGCUGAACUUAAGCAUAUCAUAGNCCGGAGGAAA